rnacentral:rRNA from 1 species
CCUACGGGCGGCAGCAGUGAGGAAUAUUGGUCAAUGGCCGAGAGUCUGAACCAGCCAAGUCGCGUGAGGGAAGACGGCCCUACGGGUUGUAAACCUCUUUUGUCGGGGAGCAAAGAGAGUCACGUGUGACUCAUUGAGAGUACCCGAAGAAAAAGCAUCGGCUAACUCCGUGCCAGCAGCCGCGGUAAUACGGAGGAUGCGGGCGUUAUCCGGAUUGAUUGGGUUGAAAGGGUGCGCAGGCGGAGGUGCAAGUCAGCGGUCAAAUUGCGGGGCUCAACCCCGUACUGCAGUUGAAACUGCAUCCCUUGAGUGCGCGAGAAGUAUGCGGAAUGCGUGGUGUAGCGGUGAAAUGCAUAGAUAUCACGCAGAACUCCGAUUGCGAAUGCAGCAUACCGGCGCGCAACUGACGCUCAUGCACGAAAGCGUGGGUAUCGAACAGGAUUAGAUACCCGUGUAGUC